CAGCCGCCGCGGGAAUACGAAGGGGGCUAGCGUUGCUCGGAAUGACUGGGCGUAAAGGGCGCGUAGGCGGUCACGAUAGUCAGAUGUGAAAUUCCUGGGCUUAACCUGGGGACUGCAUUUGAUACUGUGUGGCUUGAGUACGGGAGAGGUGAGUGGAACUCCGAGUGUAGAGGUGAAAUUCGUAGAUAUUCGGAGGAACACCAGUGGCGAAGGUGACUCACUGGCCCGUUACUGACGCUGAGGCGCGAAAGCGUGGGGAGCAAACAGGAUUAGAUACCCCAGUAGUCCCUGUCUCUUAUAC
rnacentral:rRNA from 1 species